UUCCGGUUGAUCCCGCCGGAGGUUACUGCUAUCGGGGUUCGAUUAAGCCAUGCAAGUUAAAUGUUUUUCGUAAACAUAGCGAACUGCUCAGUAACACGUGGAUAACUUAACCUUAGGUCCGGCAUAACCCCGGGAAACUGGGGAUAAUUCCGGAUGUAUCAAGGAUGCUGGAAUGCCCUUUGGUUCAAAGCUUUUGUGCCUAAGGAUAGGUCUGCGGUCUAUCAGGUUGUAGUGGGUGUAACGUACCUACUAGCCGACGACGGAUACGGGUUGUGAGAGCAAGAGCCCGGAGAUGGAUUCUGAGACAAGAAUCCAGGCCCUACGGGGUGCAGCAGGCGCGAACACUUUACAAUGCGGGAAACCGCGAUAAGGGAACCCCGAGUGCCAGUACUAAGUGCUGGCUGUCUAGAUGAAUAGAUAUCAUUUAAUAGCAAGGGCCGGGCAAGACCGGUGCCAGCCGCCGCGGUAACACCGGCGGCCCGAGUGGUAACCGAUAUUAUUGGGUCUAAAGGGUCCGUAGCCUGUUUAAUAAGUCCUUUGGGAAAUCUGGCAGCUUAACUGUCAGGCUGCUAAAGGAUACUGUUAAACUUGGGACCGGUAGACGUAGGGGGUACUCCAGGGGUAGGAGUGAAAUCUUGUAAUCCCUGGGGGACCAUCUGUGGCGAAGGCGCCCUACGAGAACGGGUCCGACGGUGAGGGACGAAAGCUAGGGGAGCAAGCCGGAUUAGAUACCCGGGUAGUCCUAGCUGUAAACGAUGCUCGCUAGGUGUCAGGCACGGUGCGUCCGUGUCUGGUGCCGCAGGGAAGCCGUUAAGCGAGCCACCUGGGGAGUACGGUCGCAAGGCUGAAACUUAAAGGAAUUGGCGGGGGAGCACUACAACGGGUGGAGCCUGCGGUUUAAUUGGAUUCAACGCCGGA
rnacentral:rRNA from 1 species